rnacentral:rRNA from 1 species
UACGAAGGGGCUAGCGUUGUUCGGAUUUACUGGGCGUAAAGCGCACGUAGGCGGAUCGUUAAGUCGGGGUGAAAUCCUGGAGCUCAACUCCAGAACUGCCUUCGAUACUGGCGAUCUUGAGUCCGGAAGAGGUGAGUGGAACUCCUAGUGUAGAGGUGGAAUUCGUAGAUAUUAGGAAGAACACCAGGUGGCGAAGGCGGCUCACUGGUCCGGUACUGACGCUGAGGUGCGAAAGCGUGGGGAGCAAACAGG